rnacentral:rRNA from 1 species
AACGAACGCUGGCGGCAUGCCUAACACAUGCCAGUCGAACGAGACCUUCGGGUCUAGUGGCGCACGGGUGCGUAACGCGUGGGAACCUGCCCUUAGGUUCGGAAUAACUCCCCGAAAGGGGUGCUAAUACCGGUUAAUGUCUUCGGACCAAAGCUUUAUCGCCUGUGGAUGGGCCCGCGUUGGAUUAGCUAGUUGGUAGGGUAAAAGCCUACCAAGGCGACGAUCCAUAGCUGGUCUGAGAGGAUGAUCAGCCACACUGGGACGGAGACACGGCCCAGACUCCUACGGGAGGCAGCAGUGGGAAAUAUUGGACAAUGGGCGAAAGCCUGAUCCAGCAGUGCCGCGUGAGUGAUGAAGGCCUUAGGGUUGUAAAGCUCUUUUACCCGGGAUGAUAAUGACAGUACCGGGAGAAUAAGCUCCGGCUAACUCCGUG